rnacentral:rRNA from 1 species
AGCAGCCGCGGUAAUUCCAGCUCCAAUAGCGUAUAUUAAAGUUGUUGCAGUUAAAAAGCUCGUAGUUGAAUUUCGGGAUCAGUUCGUCGGUCGUGCCUUUGGUAUGUACUGGUGUUACUGGUUCCUCCCUUCUGACGAACCGUCAUGUCAUUAAUUUGGUGUGGUGGGAAAUCAGGACUGUUACUUUGAAAAAAUUAGAGUGUUUAAAGCAGGCUCGCGCUUGAAUACAUUAGCAUGGAAUAAUGAAAUAGGACGUUCGAUCCUAUUUUGUUGGUUUCUAGGAUUGACGUAAUGAUUAAUAGGGAUAGUUGGGGGCAUUAGUAUUCAAUUGUCAGAGGUGAAAUUCUUGGAUUUAUUGAAGACUAACUACUGCGAAAGCAUUUGCCAAGGAUGUUUUCAUUAAUCAAGAACGAAAGUUAGGGGAUCGAAGACGAUCAGAUACCGUCGUAGUCUUAACCAUAAACUAUGCCGACUAGGGAUCGGAUGAUGUUAAUUUUUUAAUGACUCAUUCGGCGCCUUA